rnacentral:ncRNA from 1 species
ACAUUCAGAAGAGGUGCGGUAUUUAGGUACUUAAUGUGAGGCGACGACUGCCAACGACCAUUAAGGAGGGAAAUAUUCGCCGAGGAAAACAACUGCACGUCACAGUGGUUUUUCGGUUUAUGGGGCUGAAUCCUCAAAACUGUCACCAAAUUAGGUGGAGAGCUUCUGGCAGU